rnacentral:rRNA from 1 species
CCUACGGGAGGCAGCAGUGGGGGAUAUUGCACAAUGGGGGGAACCCUGAUGCAGCGACGCCGCGUGGGUGAAGGAGCGUUUCGGCGCGUAAAGCCCUAUUGGCAGGGAAGAAGAUGACGGUACCUGACCACGAAGCCCCGGCUAACUACGUGCCAGCAGCCGCGGUAAUACGUAGGGGGCAAGCGUUAUCCGGAUUUACUGGGUGUAAUGGGGGCGCAGACGGCAAUGCAAGCCAGGAGUGAAAGCCUGGGGCCCAACCCCGGGACUGCUCUUGGAACUGCAUGGCUGGAGUACAGGAGGGGCAGGCGGAAUUCCUAGUGUAGCGGUGAAAUGCGUAGAUAUUAGGAGGAACACCGGUGGCGAAGGCGGCCUGCUGGACUGUGACUGACGUUGAGGCCCGAAGGCGUGGGGAGCAAACAGGAUUAGAUACCCCAGUAGUC